CAGUAGCCGCGGUAAUACGUAGGGCGCAAGCGUUAUCCGGAAUUAUUGGGCGUAAAGAGCUCGUAGGCGGUUUGUCGCGUCUGCCGUGAAAGUCCGGGGCUCAACCCCGGAUCUGCGGUGGGUACGGGCAGACUAGAGUGAUGUAGGGGAGACUGGAAUUCCUGGUGUAGCGGUUAAAUGCGCAGAUAUCAGGAGGAACACCGAUGGCGAAGGCAGGUCUCUGGGCAUUAACUGACGCUGAGGAGCGAAAGCAUGGGGAGCGAACAGGAUUAGAUACCCGCGUAGUCCCUGUCUCUUAUAC
rnacentral:rRNA from 1 species